AACCUUCCUUGGGCUCAGUUUCCUUAUCUAUAAAAUCUGGCAUUAGUACAAUUAGAUAAACUCCUAGAUUUCCUCUAGUUCUUACAUUAUUUCAGCUUUACUUCAUAGAACUGAAAGGGACCCACGCUGGCAUCUAGUCAAAACCCUUACCCUAUAUAAAAAUGUUAGAUGGGAAAAGUCAAGAGAUACAUUGAAUUUCAUGAAUGAAUGUCUUUAUGUCUUAGAAUAAACAAACUUUCCUUGAAAUAUACAUUAUAUAGAUUAAAAAAUGGUUUCCUCCAGCCACAUUACCCAUUCCUUUUGUAUGUGACUACAGCAUUUAUCCAUCAAAGUGCUCUGAGCUGGACUCCAGAGUGAGGUUCCUGAAAGUUCGCUGAAGAGGAGCAUAAUGGUUCUGCACCACCGACACACUUAGGCAGAGACCAGGGAUGCUCAAGGGGGCAGUCAACCUUCAUCUCUUGGUCUGGAUAAACGGUGAAAGAAUCACAAGAUCACAAUGGCUCAGUGCCACUGAUGGAGGCGCACAGCUGGUGCCACACCCAAGGAGUGCAGGUGAGAGCCAUCACUGCUGUGCUUGCAGAAAGCCGUGGAACAAAGAGCAGGG
rnacentral:lncRNA from 1 species